AACACGGACCAAAGAGUAUAACAUACAUGCAAGUGUUUGGGUGAAAACCCAUGCGAGAAAUGAAAGUGAAAGUUAAGAACCCUCAAGGGUGCAUUGACGCCUGGCCCAGAACAAUUUGUGACGGAGCUACGGUAGAGCAUGCAUGUUGGGACCCGAAAGAUGGUGAACUAUGCCUGAAUAGGGUGAAGCCAGAGGAAACUCUGGUGGAAGCUCGCAGCGAUUCUGACGUGCAAAUCGAUCGUCAAAUUUGGGUAUAGGGGCGAAAGACUAAUCGAACCAUCUAGUAGCUGGUUCCCGCCGAAGUUUCCCUCAGGAUAGCAGACGCUCAUUUAUUCAGAUUUAUGUGGUAAAGCGAAUGAUUAGAGGCCUUGGGGUUGAAACAACCUUAACCUAUUCUCAAACUUUAAAUAUGUAAGAUGAGACGGUUUCUUAAAUGAACCGUUUCAUGAUUGAAGAGCGUCUAGUGGGCCAUUUUUGGUAAGCAGAACUGGCGAUGCGGGAUGAACCGAACGUGAGGUUAAGGUGCCGGAAUCUACGCUCAUCAGACACCACAAAAGGUGUUGGUUCAUCUAG
rnacentral:rRNA from 1 species